rnacentral:rRNA from 1 species
CGGCGGACGGGUGAGUAACGCGUGGGUAACCUGCCUCAUACAGGGGGAUAACAGUUAGAAAUGACUGCUAAUACCGCAUAAGACCACAGCACCGCAUGGUGCAGGGGUAAAAACUCCGGUGGUAUGAGAUGGACCCGCGUCUGAUUAGCUGGUUGGUGGGGUAACGGCCUACCAAGGCGAUGAUCAGUAGCCGGCCUGAGAGGGCGACCGGCCACAUUGGGACUGAGACACGGCCAA